GAUGAACGCUGGCGGCGUGCCUAAUACAUGCGAGUCGAGCGAACAGACGAGGAGCUUGCUCCUCUGACGUUAGCGGCGGACGGGUGAGUAACACGUGGAUAACCUACCUAUAAGACUGGGAUAACUUCGGGAAACCGGAGCUAAUACCGGAUAAUAUAUUGAACCGCAUGGUUCAAUAGUGAAAGACGGUUUUGCUGUCACUUAUAGAUGGAUCCGCGCCGCAUUAGCUAGUUGGUAAGGUAACGGCUUACCAAGGCAACGAUGCGUAGCCGACCUGAGAGGGUGAUCGGCCACACUGGAACUGAGACACGGUCCAGACUCCUACGGGAGGCAGCAGUAGGGAAUCUUCCGCAAUGGGCGAAAGCCUGACGGAGCAACGCCGCGUGAGUGAUGAAGGUCUUCGGAUCGUAAAACUCUGUUAUUAGGGAAGAACAAAUGUGUAAGUAACUAUGCACGUCUUGACGGUACCUAAUCAGAAAGCCACGGCUAACCACGUG
rnacentral:rRNA from 1 species